rnacentral:misc_RNA from 1 species
CCAUUUGGCUUAGUAUUGCUGUGGGGCUUAGAGGAAUGUUGUGGCGUUGAGAUUACUGUAUAGAGUUAGGUAUCUAAUAAUGUUAACACAUGGUGAGGAUCAUCCUGAAAUGUCUAAUGUUGAUUUUUACAUUGGUUUACUACUGAGUAAUGCUGGUCAUUAUGAAGAAAGUCAGGCAUAUCUGGAAAGUGCUCUUAGAUUACAAAACAAGUUUCAUGGAAGUCAAUCAAUUACUGUAGCCACAAUUCAUCAUCUUCUUGCCAACUCAUUGACUCACAUUGCAGCAUUUGCUGAAGCUAAGCAAAAUAAGAGAAAAGCAUACAAUAUCUAUAGGACUAAAUUUGGCCCAGAUCAUGCAUGUACUGUUCAGUCUUAUAAAAAACGUGAGGUAUAUCACUGAAAAGCAAGUCUCUUAUGACCAGACUGAGAAGCAACUGAUGGUGAGACUAGACCUGUAGGAAGAGGAAUGGCUACACGUAAUAGAGAAGCAACUGAUGGUGAUACUAGAGCUGUAAGAAGAGGAACAGCUACACGUAAUA